rnacentral:rRNA from 1 species
UACGUAGGGCGCAAGCGUUGUCCGGAAUUACUGGGCGUAAAGGGCGCGUAGGCGGACAGUUUAGUCAGAGGUGAAAGCCCAGGGCUCAACCUUGGAAUUGCCUUUGAUACUGGCUGUCUUGAGUUCGGGAGAGGUGAGUGGAAUGCCGAGUGUAGAGGUGAAAUUCGUAGAUAUUCGGAAGAACACCAGUGGCGAAGGCGACUCACUGGCCCGUUACUGACGCUGAGGCGCGAAAGCGUGGGGAGCAAACAGG